CACACGCACACACACACGCACACGCACACACACACACACACAACUGCAUCUGGGGACCUAACUGACAUCCGACUUGUUUGUUGCCCCCCGAGCGCCUCUCCACUUGCAAAACCACCA